rnacentral:lncRNA from 1 species
CUUUCAUGAUAGAUGUGACGCCCACUAUUCAGGAGAUCAUUCAUUCUAGAACUAUUUUAGUUCUAACACGUUCAACUCUUUUUAUCUCUUGGGCAUAGUCACCGGCCAAAACGUUAUAAUCGUGUUACGAGAUUCGUAUACCGACCGUCCCUAGAGCAAGUGGCAAAGGGCUUGGUGGUUGGUAUCCGAGACCCGAGUUCGAAUUCUAGUUGAUUCACAUUUUCAACUAAAUUUAUUUCUAAAUGAAAUAAACGAAACAGGUAGCGUGCUGAUGUCUCACAUUUUUAUCUCUUUUUUAAGUUAUGAUGUGAUACUCGUCUCGUUAAUCUUAAAUGAUCUUGUGGUGAUCAACCGCACUCCACCCACAGCAAUCAGCAAUAUGAGAACUUUGCUCUCCCCUCUGUAUAAUUUGGUUCAGCCAAGACUGAAGGAAUAUGUAAUUCAUAAAUACAACCAAAUCUUCAACCUUUCAAAUUAUAUAUUAUUUUUUUUAAAAGAAAUUAUAUAUUACUUUUUGAGGUGUAAUU